rnacentral:rRNA from 1 species
AUGAGGAAGUCUACACAUACUAGUGGGACAAAAAGUUUCCCUCGUAAGAGGGAAGAAAUGAAAGAUGCAGAUCCUGAAAAGAAGUACCCUCAUAGGGCUCACUUGUUCAUGCACACGCACAAGCCAAAAACUUGCAAGAACAAAAUCAUUAAUGCUCAUGUGGAAGAGUUGAAAGAUAUUAUGGACAAGAACCCUGAAUUAGCAGAUAACAGCGGUGGAAAGACUGCAUGGAAAGGAGAUGCGUUGAACAAAGUAUUAGGGGAUGACAAGCCUGGCCAUGUACAUGGUUUGGGACUAGUUCCAAACCCAAAAAAACUUUUUGAUGUUUCCACUUCACGUGUAUUCCAGAAUACACAUUUUACUUCGGUGGAGGAUACACCAAAUGAAGAUAUGCUAGCUUUUAGAGUUGAAAUGGAAAAACUAUAUCAAGUAAAUAAAAAUCAGGAUGCUAAAAUUAUGGAACUAGAGGAGAAGCUGAGAAGAAUGGAAAGACAACCAAAUCAGGAAAUUUCAGAUCCCAUGGCUACAAUUGGGCUUGAACCUUCGGUUGAUGGACACAACUCAAACAGAAAAAGAGUGCUUGCUCCUCCGGUUGAUGGACUCCAACUUGUUAAAAAACGAUCAAAUAAUUUACAGAACAAGCCAAGUGGAUCAAACAAUGCAGAUUUGCAACCAUCAAACAAGAAUUCUGUUUCAGAUAAGAACAAAAAACUAUGGUUCAUAAUGGUGGCAGUGCACGACAACUAG